AGGUCAGCAUACUGCCGUGAAUACGUUCCCGGGCCUUGUACACACCGCCCGUCACACCAUGAGAGUUGGGAAUACCCGAAGCCUGUGAGCUAACUUUUAGAGGCAGCAGUCGAAGGUAGAAUCAAUGAUUGGGGUGAAGUCGUAACAAGGUACC
rnacentral:rRNA from 1 species